ACCUCUUUCCCCCGCCUCCUCUCCUAGCCUCCCCAUCUCUCCUCUACCCCAAUCUUCUGCCCUCUCCUCUGCUUCCCCGGCCUCCCCCUUCUGACUCUCCUCUCCCCUCUUUGUAUCCCCCAUCUUGCCUCCCUGCUUCCCACAUCCGACCACCCGACCUCUCUCCUCAGACGUGGACGAAUGUCGCGAGCGAGGCCCAGCCCUGUGCGGGUCGCAGCGCUGUGAGAACUCUCCCGGCUCCUACCGCUGUGUCCGGGACUGCGAUCCUGGGUACCACGCGGGCCCCGAGGGCACCUGUGACGAAUUCACUAAGCACCUACUCUAUGCCAGCGUCUGGAAAAGAUGUGGAUGAGUGCCAAGAAUAUGGUCCCGAGAUUUGUGGAGCCCAGCGUUGUGAGAACACCCCUGGCUCCUACCGCUGCACACCAGCCUGUGACCCUGGCUAUCAGCCCACGCCAGGGGGCGGAUGCCAGG
rnacentral:sRNA from 1 species